GUGAGCGGCAGACGGGUGAGUAACGCGUGGGAAUCUACCUAUAUCUACGGAAUAACACAGAGAAAUUUGUGCUAAUACCGUAUGUUUCCUGAGGGAGAAAGAUUGUAUCGGAUAUAGAUGAGCCCGCGUUGGAUUAGCUAGUUGGUAGGGUAAAGGCUUACCAAGGCGACGAUCCAUAGCUGGUCUGAGAGGAUGAUCAGCCACACUGGGACUGAGACACGGCCCAGACUCCUACGGGAGGCAGCAGUGGGGAAUAUUGGACAAUGGGGGCAACCCUGAUCCAGCCAUGCCGCGUGAGUGAAGAAGGCCUUAGGGUUGUAAAGCUCUUUCACCGGAGAAGAUAAUGACGGUAUCCGGAGAAGAAGCCCCGGCAAACUUCGUGCCAGCAGCCGCGGUAAUACGAAGGGGGCUAGCGUUGUUCGGAUUUACUGGGCGUAAAGAGCAUGUAGGCGGAUAUUUAAGUCAGAGGUGAAAUCCCAGGGCUCAACCUUGGAACUGCCUUUGAUACUGGAUGUCUUGAGGAU
rnacentral:rRNA from 1 species